AUUGAACGCUGGCGGAAUGCUUUACACAUGCAAGUCGAACGGCAGCACGGACUUCGGUCUGGUGGCGAGUGGCGAACGGGUGAGUAACAUAUCGGAACGUAUCCAAUAAUGGGGGAUAACUAAUCGAAAGGUUGGCUAAUACCGCAUACGCCCUACGGGGGAAAGCUAGGGACCUUCGGGCCUGGCGUUAAUGGAGCGGCCGAUACCUGAUUAGCUAGUUGGUGGGGUAAAGGCCCACCAAGGCGACGAUCAGUAGCUGGUCUGAGAGGACGACCAGCCACACUGGAACUGAGACACGGUCCAGACUCCUACGGGAGGCAGCAGUGGGGAAUAUUGGACAAUGUGCGCAAGCCUGAUCCAGCCAUUCCGCGUGAGUGAAGAAGGCCUUCGGGUUGUAAAGCUCUUUCGCAAGGGAAGAAAACUUACCCUCUAACAUAGGGUGAGGUUGACGGUACCUUGAUAAGAAGCACCGGCUAACUACGUGCCAGCAGCCGCAGUAA
rnacentral:rRNA from 1 species